rnacentral:rRNA from 1 species
UACGAAGGGGGCUAGCGUUGCUCGGAAUUACUGGGCGUAAAGAGCUCGUAGGCGGUUUGUCGCGUCUGCCGUGAAAGUCCGGGGCUCAACUCCGGAUCUGCGGUGGGUACGGGCAGACUAGAGUGAUGUAGGGGAGACUGGAAUUCCUGGUGUAGCGGUGAAAUGCGCAGAUAUCAGGAGGAACACCGAUGGCGAAGGCAGGUCUCUGGGCAUUAACUGACGCUGAGGAGCGAAAGCAUGGGGAGCGAACAGG